GCACAAGCGGUGGAGCAUGUGGUUAAUUCGAAGCAACGCGAAGAACCUUACCAGGUCUUGACAUCCCGAUGCUAUUUCUAGAGAUAGAAAGUUACUUCGGUACAUCGGUGACAGGUGGUGCAUGGUUGUCGUCAGCUCGUGUCGUGAGAUGUUGGGUUAAGUCCCGCAACGAGCGCAACCCCUAUUGUUAGUUGCCAUCAUUCAGUUGGGCACUCUAGCGAGACUGCCGGUAAUAAACCGGAGGAAGGUGGGGAUGACGUCAAAUCAUCAUGCCCCUUAUGACCUGGGCUACACACGUGCUACAAUGGUUGGUACAACGAGUUGCGAGUCGGUGACGGCGGGCUAAUCUCUUAAAGCCAAUCUCAGUUCGGAUUGUAGGCUGCAACUCGCCUACAUGAAGUCGGAAUCGCUAGUAAUCGCGGAUCAGCACGCCGCGGUGAAUACGUUCCCGGGCCUU
rnacentral:rRNA from 1 species